rnacentral:rRNA from 1 species
UACAGAGGGGGCAAGCGUUGUUCGGAAUUAUUGGGCGUAAAGGGCGCGUAGGCGGCCUGGCAAGUGGAAGGUGAAAUCCCUCGGCUUAACCGAGGAACUGCCCUCCAAACUGCUUGGCUUGAGUCCGGGAGAGGUGAGUGGAAUUCCCAGUGUAGCGGUGAAAUGCGUAGAUAUUGGGAGGAACACCAGUGGCGAAGGCGGCUCACUGGACCGGAACUGACGCUGAGGCGCGAAAGCGUGGGGAGCAAACGGG